UGUGAGGUGGUGCUAUGUAGCAGGAACCCCUCUUGCUUUGCAAAUAGUUUUUUGUUUGUUUUCCUUUUUGCCCAAUAGAGCCCUGCUCUACUGACCCUUCAAUGUGCCCGUGUGCCUAAAUAUUCCUGGUCGUGUGAAAAGAACCCAGGUAUUAGCUGAACUAAGGAGCACAAUUCUGCAACAUUUUGGCACCCAAACACGGGGCUUGAGAAAUGAAUGCAAUUGGAGAAACUGGUUGUUUUACCAGGCGUUGAUUGGAAAUGUGUGCUUCCCUUUAAGCAGUCAAGCUCAACUUGCAGAACUGAUGGGAACCCCUUGGGAAAACUGGCCUCAAAUGUUUGUCUACACAGUCCACAUACAGGGUUCUUAACCUGCGACUGACCCUGCUUGUGCCUGUGAACCAACCAACAAUCUCUGGCUGCAGCUCAGAAAGGACAAAAGAGAAUGGAUGAGGGAAACUUCCCAGGGCUUGUCUGGGUAUGCCCACAGUGGACUGGAGCCCAAAAUGCACACUGGAGGAAGUGGAUGGAGCCACGUGGAUGUCAUGCCUUAUGCAGGGGAGGAGCCUGCUCUCUUCAGCUCCUGUGGUAAUGUGGGAAUCGAUCUGUGAGGUGAGGACCUGUUAGCAGGAACCCCUCUUGCUUUGCUGAAAGUUUUAUUUUUCUUUUUGCCCUAUAAAACCCUGUUCUACUAACCCUUCAAUAUGUCUGCAUUCCUAAAUUUUCCUGGUCAUGUGACGAGAACCUAGGUUUUAGCUGAACUAAGGAGCAAAAUUCUGCAACAUAAAGUCAAAGAAAACUAUGCCUAUAUCCAUUAAAUCAAAUGUUAAAAAGCAAAUAUAAAGAAAAAGUCUUCACAGCCCUAGAGAAAAGUGAAACAUUGUACAUAAAGAAGUAAUAAUUUGAAUGGAUUGUCAGAAACCAUGACUAGAAGACAGAGGAGCAAUAUUUUCAAAUUUCAUAGAGAAAGGAAAAAAAGAAAAGAAGAAAAAAAAGAAGACAUAAUAAAACACCUGUCAUUUUAGUAUUCUGUACCCAUUGAACAUAACCUUCAAUAGAAUGUGAAGUAGACAUAUUCAGGUGAAUAAAAAAUCAAGAGAAUAAUAGUUAUGUUCUACAUGAAAUUAUAAAGGAAAUUUCUCAGACUAGGUGGAAAUUAUACUAGUGAGAAACAGAUUUGAAGGACUAAAGGAAGAGAUGAUAGACUGACAAAGUCAAUUUUUAAAAGCCAGAUCUAACUUCUUAUUGGCUACAAGGAAUCCACUUUUAAUAUACAAAAAUAGGUAAUAAUUAAAUUGCUAGAAAAUACAUUUCAAAUAAAGAAUCAGCACAUGUAGCUUGGAGAAGAUAUAUUAACAUAAAAAGGACUUCAAUAAAAGGAGUAUUAUGAGAAGACAUUUAUGCAGCCAAAAAACACAUGAAAAAAUGCUCACCAUCACUGGCCAUCAGAGAAAUGCAAAUCAAAACCACAAUGAGAUACCAUCUCACACCAGUUAGAAUGGCAAUCAUUAAAAAGUCAGGAAACAACAGGUGCUGGAGAGGAUGUGGAGAAAUAGGAACACUUUUACACUGUUGGUGGGACUGUAAACUAGUUCAACCAUUGUGGAAGUCAGUGUGGUGAUUCCUCAGGGAUCUAGAACUGGAAAUACCAUUUGACCCAGCCAUCCCAUUACUGGGUGUAUACCCAAAGGACUAUAAAUCAUGCUUCUAUAAAGACACAUGCACAGGUAUGUUUAUUGCGGCACUAUUCACAAUAGCAAAGACCUGGAACCAACCCAAAUGUCCAACAAUGAUAGACUGGAUUAAGAAAAUGUGGCACAUAUACACCAUGGAAUACUAUGCAGCCAUAAAAAAUGAUGAGUUCAUGUCCUUUGUAGGGACAUGGAUGAAAUUGGAAAUCAUCAUUCUCAGUAAACUAUCACAAGGACAAAAAACCAAACACCACAUAUUCUCACUCAUAGGUGGGAAUUGAACAAUGAGAUCACAUGGACACGGGAAAGGGAACAUCACACUCUGGGGACUGUUGUGGGGUGGGGGGAGAGGGGAGGGAUAGCAUUAGGAGAUAUACCUAAUGCUAAAUGAUGAGUUAAUGAGUGCAGCACACCAGCAUGGCACAUGUAUACAUAUGUAACUAACCUUUACGUUGUGCACAUGUACCCUAAAACUUAAAGUAUAAUAAUAAUAAAAUAAAAUAAAAUAAAAAUUUAUCAGAAAAA
ensembl:lncRNA PURPL p53 upregulated regulator of p53 levels